UGGGAAAUUGCUGGUUUACUUAUUUUCAAAUGAACUCGUAUGGAAAUCUGAUGUCACACAUGACAGAUGACAUGGAGGUUUCCUUGGUGGGGUGGACUGCCUCUCUCAUCAUGUGACACAGGGCCAAGGGGGCAUGCCAAUGGCAGCACCAGCCUGUCAGCUGUGUGGGAGGGACGUGUCCUCAGCCCCUAUCUUCCUCCUGGAUCAAGAGGCUUGUAAUUUUCCACCAAGACACAUGAGAAAGGGUGACAUCCCUGUCUUUCUUUGGGGGUGCUGCACCUGCCUUGGGGCCUUUCACUGGACAAGAGAACUCAGGCCUAGGCCCACAGUGCCCAGACUCCCCUGAGUCUCAGUGCUUCCUGUAACUGCCUUGGUCUCAGGAUCAACUGUAAACAAGAAGGUUCUGGAACCAUCCUCACUGAGGGAAACCCUAGGUGAGGAGAAAGGUGGGCUUUCCUGCUGGCUCUGGCCUGGGAGCCUCCCUCCUGCUCGCUGUAGCUGGGGAGGGCUCGAGAUGUGGGGACAAAACUCACCUUGUGGGUGAGGAACCUUGGGCCCCUUUGAACAGACCAUUAGUCCUCAGGCAUGUGGGUUUGCCUGCCAUUUCCACUGGUGGAUCUGUGUGGUGUCUCCUUAGCAGCACGUGCUAUAAGCUCAGAUCUCCUUUAACAGCAAAAUUGGUAGACUCUACUCCUGGCCUCUCAAGGUGCUGGGAGAUUAUGCAUGUGCAUAGGAAAUAGAUGCUAUGUGAAGGUCACUAGGCCAUUAAUAAUCACCAAGGAAAAGUAGAGCAUGAAAGGUUCCAUCUUCCUUAAGUGUCAUCUCCAGAGGAGCCCUCCCCUGAGUGAUGGACAUGAGCCAGAUGCGCUGCUGAAUUUUCAUUAAUUACCAUGAAACAAAGUAACCAUCCCAGUCCUUCCCCACACUAAACUCAGUCCAGGGUCCCAACAGUGCUGUUCCCAUGCAGAGGAAACUCCCACCCUCUCAGAACUGUCUGAUGGGCAGAGGUCUGGGCCUGGCCUGGGUCCCUUCCUUGGAGUCAUUAACACAGUGUGUCCAUUGCAGCUGCAGCUCACAGGACUGGCUCUGAGGGCUGCAAUGAUCCUAGGCAUGUGGGAGUGUCACCUUGAGUUGUGAGAUUUUGCAGGUGUGAGCCUUGACUGCUGAAUCUCUGACCACACAGAGCCCAGGUCCUCUGUCAAUAGAAGAUAUGAUUCCAGUAGUGACCAUGAAGAAACUCCAGGUAGAUUCCAACAGUGAGACAGGACCCAAGGGAAGGGCGUUCCUGAGAGUCACUGAAGUAUAACUGCUCAGCUGGAGACAGAGCAAGGGGCUGUGAAAUCAGAAAGAUUUCACCUUCAGCAGCUAAUGGUGCAAUAAAAGAGCUGUGAUGUCUA